GAUGAACGCUAGCGGCAGGCUUAAUACAUGCAAGUCGUGGGGCGGCAUGAGUGUAGCAAUACAUUUGAUGGCGACCGGCAAACGGGUGCGGAACACGUACACAACCUUCCUAUAAGUGGGGAAUAGCCCAGAGAAAUUUGGAUUAAUACCCCGUAACAUAAUGAUGUGGCAUCACAUUAUUAUUAUAGCUUCGGCGCUUAUUGAUGGGUGUGCGGCUGAUUAGAUAGUUGGCGGGGUAACGGCCCACCAAGCCUACGAUCAGUAGCUGAUGUGAGAGCAUGAUCAGCCACACGGGCACUGAGACACGGGCCCGACUCCUACGGGAGGCAGCAGUAAGGAAUAUUGGUCAAUGGACGCAAGUCUGAACCAGCCAUGCCGCGUGAAGGAUUAAGGUCCUCUGGAUUGUAAACUUCUUUUAUCUGGGACGAAAAAAGGCGAUUCUUCGUCACUUGACGGUACCAGAUGAAUAAGCACCGGCUAACUCCGUGCCAGCAGCCGCAGUAACAC
rnacentral:rRNA from 1 species